AUGGCACCUAAGGCAACCAAGGCUCCUGUGACCUGUAAUUGGGUCCAAUCCACUGUCACAAAGAGCAAAUUGCCUGAAUUUGUGAAGUCUGGCCAUCUGCCCAAGAAGGAGGUCAUGUUUUAUCAUGCCCCUGACCCGUCCGAGGAGAAACCUCAGCCCAAAGAAGGGGAGGUGAUAGUUUUUACGGAUCAUAUGAGCCGGGGAUUUGCCCCACCCGGUUCAAAAUUCUUCAGGGAUGUUUUGCAUUUCUUUGACCUCGGACCUCAAGACAUCGGGCCCAAUUCCAUGUCAAAUAUUUGCAACUUCCAAGUCUUCUGCGAGGUGUACCUGGGAGAAGAGCCCAAUCUACUUUUGUUCAGAGAGCUAUUCUACUUAAACCGGCAGAAUGAACGUGCCAACGGGCCCAGUCUAGAACUUGGUGGCAUCUCGAUUCAGCGCCGGAGAGACUGCCUUUUUCCUUAUGCUGAACUACCGAGAAAUCCGAAGGAUUGGAAUCAGACGUGGUUCUAUUGCUAG
rnacentral:rRNA from 1 species